CACGUAGGGCGCGAGCGUUGUCCGGAAUUAUUGGGCGUAAAGAGCUCGUAGGCGGCCUGUUGCGUCCGCUGUGAAAGCCCGGGGCUUAACCCCGGGUCGGCAGUGGAUACGGGCAGGCUAGAGGUAUGCAGGGGGAGAACGGAAUUCCUGGUGUAGCGGUGAAAUGCGCAGAUAUCAGGAGGAACACCGGUGGCGAAGGCGGUUCUCUGGGCAUUACCUGACGCUGAGGAGCGAAAGUGUGGGGAGCGAACAGG
rnacentral:rRNA from 1 species